rnacentral:rRNA from 1 species
UUUAAUGGCCGCAGUAUUUUGACUGUGCAAAGGUAGCAUAAUCAUUAGUUUCUUAAUUAGGAACUGGUAUGAAAGGUUGAACGAAAAAAUAACUGUCUCUAAAUUAAUUUUUUAUAAUUUUAUUUUUAAGUUAAAAAGCUUAAAUUUAUUUAAAAGACGAGAAGACCCUAUAGAGUUUUAUAUAAUUUUAAAUAAAUUAUAAUUAUUGAUUUUUUUUUAAUUUAUAUAAGAAAAUAUUUAAUUGGGGUGAUUUAAAAAUUUAAUAAACUUUUUAAUUUUAAUUACAUUGAUUUAUGAUUAUAUGAUCCAUUAUUUUAAUGAUUAUAAGAUUAAAUUACCUUAGGGAUAACAGCGUUAUUUUUUUUUAGAGUUCAAAUCGAUAAAAAAGUUUGCGACCUCGAUGUUGGAUUAAAAUUUAAUUUUGGUGUAGAAGCUAGGAUUUUAGGUCUGUUCGACCUUUAAAAUUUUACAUGAUCUGAGUUUAAACCGGUGUGAGCCAGGUUGGUUUCUAUCUUUAAAUAUUAUAAUAAUAUUUUAGUACGAAAGGACCAUAUAUUAGAAAUAAUUUUUAAAUAAGAAUUUUACUAAUUU